rnacentral:rRNA from 1 species
GACGAACGCUGGCGGCGUGCCUAAUACAUGCAAGUAGAACGCAGUUGCGAACGGGUGAGUAACGCGUAGGUAACUGCCUCAUAGCGGGGGAUAAAUAUUGGAAAACAUAGCCAAGACCGCAUAAUGUGAGAUGGACCUGCUUUGUAUUAGCUAGUUGGUGAGGUAAAGGCUCACCAAGGAGACGCUACAUAACCGGCCUGCGAGGGUGGUCGGCCACACUGUGACCGAGACACGGCCCAGACUCCUACAGGUGGCCGCCGUAGGGAAUCUUCGGCAAUGGACGGAAGUCUGACCGAGCCACGCCGCGUGAGUGAAGAAGGUUUUCGGAUCGUAAAGCUCUGUUGUUAGAGAAGCGGUAGCUAACCAGAAAGGGACGGCUAACUACGUGCCAGCAGCCGCGGUAAUUC